rnacentral:rRNA from 1 species
GACGAACGCUGGCGGCGUGCUUAACACAUGCAAGUCGAACGGAAAGGCCCUGCUUUUGUGGGGUGCUCGAGUGGCGAACGGGUGUGUAACACGUGAGUAACCCGCCCUUGUCUUUGGGAUAACUUCAGGAAACUGGGGCUAAUACCGGAUAGGAGCUCCUGCUGCAUGGUGGGGGUUGGAAAGUUUCGGCGGUUGGGGAUGGACUCGCGGCUUAUCAGCUUGUUGGUGGGGUAGUGGCUUACCAAGGCUUUGACGGGUAGCCGGCAUGAGAGGGUGACCGGCGACAAUAGGCCUGCGGGACGCAGCAGUCGGGUACGGGAGGCAGCAGGCGAGAAUCUUGCACAACGGGGGGGCGCCUGAUGCAGCGGUGCUGCGAGCGGGAUGACGGCCUACGGGUUGUAAACCGCUGUCGCCUGUGACGAAGCGUGAGUGACGGUAAUGGGUAAAGAAGCACCGGCUAACUACGUG